CUGGUGAACAUGUCAGAGGAUCAGCACCAUCUUGUUCUGGACUCUGUUUGACUCGCACAAAAGUGGGACUCCUCAGAUGCGGCGUCUGACAGAGUCAAGCAAGGUGAACAUGUACCAGGAAUCAAGGAAGGGACUUCCCAAGUACUUCCCAGCUUUCCUCACACCAAGCCCCUGACUCAACCACCGGCACCACAAGCCGCCAACACAACCAUGUUAUUACCGUGACCUCACUCAGCACUUUUGGAUAUGGACAUAUGGACACAGUUCCCAGGUCACCGCCCACCCGCCUUCUUUUGUUUGUUUGCUUCAAUUAUUAUAUAAAAAAAAAGCAUCUCUGAGUUCCCGUUUGCCUGUCAGCUUUUUUUUUCUUUAAAAUGUGCUCACUGCUGAGAAUAAAUAGGCAUGUCUCGUUGCUGCUUGUGUACAAAUUGGCUGACAAGAAACAUGGAUCCUGUAAUGUAUAUGUAUAUGAGUGAACUGAGUGGGGUUACCUUAAAAGGAGUCUUUCUCUUUUGUUUCUGAGAAUAUCUGUCAUGUAUGGUUUUCACACAUCACAACUCCAGUGGCAGCAAAUGAGGAACCUUCAGCUACAGUUCGCUGAACGUCCCAAGAUAGCCUGCAUCUAUUUCAAUGUGUUUCGAUCAAGAUAAUGGUUUGCAACAACUUUAAGAUUUCGUAAUUCUUAUAGUUGGUUGAUCUUAUCUACAAUUAGAAACACCCACCCAAUUGUGAGCUUUUUGCGUGUUUCCACCCAAUGGAAUUGAAAGAAAACACGAUUUGAGUUUGGACUUUCAGGUUUGAUUUCAAAGGUUUCGCCCCAAAAAUUGCCAUUUACUUUUUGGGGAAUUUACGACAUUUAGCGCCAAGUAGAUCAACUGCCACAAUUGUAAAUGCCCAUGAUACCUUAGUAUCAAUCUACAAAGCAUUAUCCAAUCAGUUAACAAUGAGAAUAAUCGAGGAAAGAGCUUGACUGCCCAUUUAUUUUAUCACAUCAUCACCGUACCAGCCACAGUAUGCACAUGCCAUAACACUACCGCCACCAUUUUUGAUGGAUGCUGUGGUAUGCUUUGGAUCAUGAACCUUCUCCAUAUUGCAUGCAAUUAUUCAAAUCCAAAUUGCCUUUGGUUUCAUCUCAAGCGUUGCUGAUUUUUUUUUUGUAAAAGUCAAAUCUUGCUUUCUUAUUCUUGAAUGCUUUGAAUCUUCAGUGCUUUACGCCUUUGUGCUCCUCUUGAUUGUAAAUGUUUAUAAUGACACAUUUACUGUCUCCAUGUAGAAUAUUCUUGACUUCUGUUGAUGUGAAACCAUCAUGUUGUCGACAAGCUUGUUGCCAAAUGUUUUGGAAUUCAAGUCUAGGCUACUGUAAAUGCCAGUGGCCAAUUCAGCUGCUGCUCCUUUUUUUUUGAUACCUGCAAAGUGCAAAGCUCUUCAUUUAAAGCUCACAUUUCCUUUUGUUCUAUUUCUUAUGUUGUUGCUGUAUUGAAGCAAGAGCAUUAAAAAUAUGAUUACUGUAAUCAUGUUUGGGUGAA